AGUUCUUGCACAAGUGUUAAUCCAAAAGUCCUUUAGAGCCCUUAAGGACACCAUAACAAGAUCUCUCUUGGAUCUCUUCAGAUUCAUCUUCCCUCAGCCUUUCAUCUCUUUGGAAACACCUGUCCCUGCCAAAAACAUUUAGUGGAAGCAUCUUCUUUCAAAGAAAGCACACAGCUCCUAUAAUAGUCUUUUCUCCAAAUUAUACUGUCCUCUGGAGCGCGAUUCUUGGGGCUUCUGGGAGUUGGUUCAGCUGCUGAGUAACAAUCCCCUGGAAUGCAGGCAGCUGUUAAAAGUUCUUCUCCCAAAGUUGUCUCUUUGGUUUUCUCAGAGGCCUCUCUCCCCCCAGGGUUCCAAAAGCUCUCGUUGCUAGUCUUUUGCCUCUGCCAGCUUCAGCCUAUUGCUCUCUUUCCGAAUCCUGGCUUCUCAAUCUCCCAAAAUUGUCUAGUUGGCUUGCGGGGGGCUCCUCAUAUAUGAUCUCUUCAAGGUGUGAACUCAAAGGUUGACUCCUCCUCCGAGGGUGGGAUUGUGCCUUCCUGACCUGUGAAGCUCCCUGAUGUGUGAACUCUUAAAAGUGUGAACUCAAGGACAUAAGCAUUGUUUCUAUCAAUUUCAGUGAGUUAGCACAUUGUUUGAAGUUCUGGCUGAUGUGUCAACUCUUAAAGGUGUUUACUCAAGUACAAAAGCAUUGUUUCUAUGGAUUCCAGUGUUUCAAGUUCUGGCCCAUAAGAAAUCUGGUUACUGAUAUAGUCAAUGAUGCUAAUAGUUUUCCUAAUAUUGAAACAGCCCUGUAUCCCUGCUAUGCAUCCUACUUGCUCAUAGUGUAUUAUUCCGGGGAUGAUUUUCUCUUAUCUUUUUGCUAAUAUCUUAUUUAAGAUUUUAGCUUUAAUAGUCAUUAGGGAGAUUGGUCUAUCAUUUUCUUUCACUGUUUUCAACCUACCUGGUUUAUGUAUCAGUGCCAUGUCUGUGUCCUAAAAGGAAUUUGGUAGGACUCCUUCAAUCCCUAUUUUUUCAAAUAGUUCAUAGAGCAUUGGAGUUAAUUUUUCUUUAAAUGUUUGAUAUAAUUCACUUCUAAAUCCAUCUGGUCCUGAGGAUUUUUUCUUAGGGAGCUUAUUAAUAGCUUGUUCCAUUUCUUUUUCUGAGAUGCGGCUGUUUCACCAAUUUACUUCUUCCUUUGUUCUUCUGGGCAAGGUAUGUUUUUGAAGGUAUUCUUUCAUUUCAUUUAAGUUAUCGAAUUUAUUGGCAUAACAUUGGGCAAUGUGAUUCCUAAUUAUUGCCCUAAUUUCCUCUUCAUUAGUGGCGAGUUCUCCCUUUUCAUGUUUUAAGACUAACAAUUUGAUUUUUCUCUUUUCCUUUUUUCAUCAGAUUUACAAAGGGUUUCUCUAUUUUCCUGUUUUUUUCAUAGAACCAAUUCUUAGUUUUAUUAAUUAAUUCAAUAGGUUUUUUUUUUACUUUUAAUCUUAUUAAUCUCUCCUUUUAUUUUUAGAAUUUCAAGUUUAGUGUUUGACUGGAGGUUUUUAAUUUGUUCCUUUCCUAGCAUUUUUAGUUGCAAGCUCAAUUUAUUGACCUUCUUUUUCUCUUUUUUAUGCGAGUUGGCCUCUAGAGAUUUAAAAUUUCACCUUAUUACUGCUUUGGUUGCAUCCCACACAUUUUGGUAUGAUGUCUCAUUAUUGUCAUUUUCUUGGGUGAAGUUAUCAUGUGUAUGAUUUGCUGUUUCACCCAAUAAUUCUUUAACAUGCGAUUAUUUAGUUUCCCAUUAUUUUUGGUCAUUUUCCCCUGGCUUUUUAUUGAAUGUCAUUUUCAUUGCAUCGUGGUCUGAAAAGGAUGCAUUUACUAUUUCUGCCUUACAGCAUUUGAGUUUGAGGUUUUUAUGUCCUAAUAUAUGGUCAAUUUUUGUAGAGAUUCCAUGAAUUGCUGAGAAGAAAGUGUGCUCCUUUCUGUCUCCAUUCAGUUUUUUCCAAACAUCUAUCCUACCUAACUUUUCUAGUAUUCUAUUUACCUCUUUGACUUCUUUCUUAUUUUGUGGUUUGAUUUAUCUAAUUCUGAGAGUGCAAGGUUGAGGUCUCCCUGUAUGCCUGGCACAUAGUAGGUGUUUAAUGACAAAUGCUUCUUGAAUGGACUCAUGAUAUUCCUAAGUUUGGCACAGCACCUGGCACUUAGUAGGUGUUAAUGAUAAAUACUUCUUGACUGGACACAUGAUAUUCCCAAGCCUGGCAUGGCACCUGGGCACAUAAUAAGUGUUUAAUGAUAAAUGCUUCUUGAUGGAACACAUGAUAUCCCCAAGUUAAUAAAGUGCCUGGCACUUAGUGUUUAAUAACAAAUGUUUCUUGACUGAACACAUGAUAUCCCCAAGCUCAACACAGUGCCUGGCACUUAGUAGGCAUUUAAUGAUAAAUGCUUCUUGACUGGACACAUGAUAUUCCCUAGGCUAGCAUCGCACCUGACACUUUGUAGGUGCUUAAUAACAUCGUUCUUGAUGGACACAGGAUAUCCCCAAGCCUGGCACGGUGCCUGGCACAUCCGCAGGAGGCACUUAAUGCUGACCAGGUGACUGGCUCUGUCAUUUCUGCCAGAGUUUUGUCCAGGUGUGGACUGGACAGAAGAGCCUCGGAGCUAUCCUGGGAUUCUGAAAAGGCGGGAACAGGGCAGGGAGGGAGGGCAGCAAGGAGGGGGAGCAGAGGAGAGAAAGCAGGGCUUUCAUUCGACGCUACAAGCAGGGAAGGAGGAAGUGAUGAUGGGGAGGGAAGCUAGGGCCGGUUUGGGGGGAAGGUCUGGGCACCGGGAACCGGGGGCGAGCGGGGGUCUUUCACACCUGGUUCAGGCUGUGCAGCCACUGUGGGUUCCUCCCAACCCUGAUAUCCUGGGAUCAUGAGGGCUCCAAAAAGGGAGUGAAGGGGAGAAAAGUCAGGCAGCCCCAGAGGUCACACAGAGGGGAGAGUGGGAGCCAGAUGGAGGCCACUGCCUCCUGCUUGCCUGAGGC
ensembl:lncRNA